GUUUGUGAGCAAUAUAUGACAUCAUGGAUGUGAAAACUCCAUGUCACCUGCCAAGUGAUGUAAAACCAUGUGGCUCAGUAGAAAGGAGUCUGUGACUUUCGGCUAGCCCUUUCAAAAUGAUGUGUGGGUAAUACCAGGGAUGUUAUAGAUACAAAAAUCAGUUGCAUAAUAUCAGGCUAAGCUCAUCUGGGGUAACAGGAGCAAGAAUCAAGGACUGUUGCAGGUGGGUUCUUUACUACUGAGCCACCAGGGAAGCCCCAUAUGCUAAUGGAGAAAUUGAAUUUACUGAAGAAACUGAGGUAUAGAUCUCGUAACUUCCUUUACAAUUGCAAUGAACACAACAAAGUUAAAAGUUGCAUAAACAGAUGCUGGGGAGUUUCCACAAACGAGUGCUUUUCUGUGAUGACUUGAAGACAUAUGUGAUCUGGUGUGAAUGUGUCAUUUAUUUCAGAUUAGGGAGCUGUUCAUGUUUGAGCAUGCUUUGCCCUUAAUUGCCUGGGGAUUUUUAGAUAGCCCUGUCUUCAGUGGUCUGAAACAAGUCGCAAUGUACUGCAGCAAUACUGCUCCCCACAGAACUUACAAAUUCAACUCAAAAUCAAUUGCAGGCACAGUGAGUAAGAUGCUGUAUCACAGGCAAUAA
rnacentral:lncRNA from 1 species